rnacentral:rRNA from 1 species
AUUGCAGUCUGCAACUCGACUGCAUGAAGCCGGAAUCGCUAGUAAUCGCGGAUCAGAAUGCCGCGGUGAAUACGUUCCCGGGUCUUGUACACACCGCCCGUCACACCAUGGGAGUCGGAAAUGCCCGAAGCCGGUGGCCUAACCGAUAAGGGAGGAGCCGUCGAAGGCAGGUCUGAUGACUGGGGUGAAGUCGUAACAAGGUAAC